UACGUAGGGUGCGAGCGUUGUCCGGAAUUACUGGGCGUAAAGAGCUCGUAGGUGGUUUGUCGCGUUGUUCGUGAAAUCUCACGGCUUAACUGUGAGCGUGCGGGCGAUACGGGCAGACUGGAGUACUGCAGGGGAGACUGGAAUUCCUGGUGUAGCGGUGAAAUGCGCAGAUAUCAGGAGGAACACCAAUGGCGAAGGCAGCUCGCUGGAACGGUACUGACGCUGAGGCGCGAAAGCGUGGGGAGCAAACAGG
rnacentral:rRNA from 1 species